AACGAACGCUGGCGGCGUGCCUAACACAUGCAAGUCGAACGCGAAAGGGGGCAACCCCCGGUAGCGUGGCAGACGGGUGAGUAACACGUGGGUAACCUACCCCGAGGUGGGGGAUAACCCUCCGAAAGGAGGGCUAAUACCGCAUGACACUUGGAGGUCCGAGGACUUCCAAAUCAAAGCUAGCCUCUGCUUGCAAGCUAGCGCCACGGGAGGGGCCCGCGCCCCAUUAGCUAGUUGGUGAGGUAAUGGCUCACCAAGGCAACGAUGGGUAGCCGGCCUGAGAGGGCGAUCGGCCACACUGGAACUGAGACACGGUCCAGACUCCUACGGGUGGCUG
rnacentral:rRNA from 1 species